rnacentral:rRNA from 1 species
AGAGUUUGAUCCUGGCUCAAAAUCAACGCUGGCGGCGUGCCUCAGACAUGCAAGUCGAACGCGAAAGGUUCCUUCGGGGACCGAGUAGAGUGGCGUCCGGGUGAGCAACACGUGGGUAAUCUACCUUCGGGUGGGGAAUAACGACCGGAAACGGUCGCUGAUACCGCAUAAUGCAGCACCACCUAAUGGUGACAGUUGUUAAAGCGGGGGAUCGCAAGACCUCGCGCCUGAAGAGGACCCCGCGGCGGAUUAGCUAGUUGGCAGGGUAACGGCCUACCAAGGCGACUAUCCGUAGCCGGCCUGAGAGGGCGGUCGGCCACACUGGCACUGACACACGGGCCAUACUCCUACGGGAGGCAGCAGUCGGGAAUUUUGGGCAAUGGGCGAAAGCCUGACCCAGCAACGCCGCGUGAAGGAUGAAUCUUUUCGGAGUGUAAACUUCAUAAGAGUGGGACGAAUAAGGGAGGGGGUUAAUACUCUCCUUUGAUGACGGUAUCAUUUGUAAGCUCCGGCUAACUCCGUGCCAGCAGCCGCGGUAAUACGGGGGGAGCAAGCGUUGUUCAGUAUUUACUGGGCGUAAAGGGCGCGUACGCGGCAUAACAAGUC